AUUGAACGCUGGCGGCAGGCCUAACACAUGCAAGUCGAGCGGAUGAAGGGAGCUUGCUCCUGGAUUCAGCGGCGGACGGGUGAGUAAUGCCUAGGAAUCUGCCUGGUAGUGGGGGAUAACGUCCGGAAACGGGCGCUAAUACCGCAUACGUCCUGAGGGAGAAGGUGGGGGAUCUUCGGACCUCACGCUAUCAGAUGAGCCUAGGUCGGAUUAGCUAGUUGGUGGGGUAAAGGCCUACCAAGGCGACGAUCCGUAACUGGUCUGAGAGGAUGAUCAGUCACACUGGAACUGAGACACGGUCCAGACUCCUACGGUAGGCAGCAGUGGGGAAUAUUAGACAAUGGGCGAAAGCCUGAUCCAGCCAUGCCGCGUGUGUGAAGAAGGUCUUCGGAUUGUAAAGCACUUUAAGUUGGGAGGAAGGGCAGUAAGUUAAUACCUUGCUGUUUUGACGUUACCAACAGAAUAAGCACCGGCUAACUUCGUG
rnacentral:rRNA from 1 species